AAGGUGGGAGCGCGCCUCAGGAGCGUGUGAUCUGCCAGCUCAAUUAAUGAGCUCAGAUCCAAUGCUCCUUGUUUUUUUUGCAUUUUUCUAUUUUUUGAUUUUAUUUUCUUUAAUUCCUUUUAUUUCAAAAAAAUCAUAUCUCUCUCAUUUUAAUUCCAAAAAUUAUGGGACCAAUUGCAUUAGUCUCCAAAUAAUUUCUAAUUUCUAUUUCGGAUUUUUAAUAUUUUUUAUUUUGUCAUUUGAUAUUUUUUGUGAAUUUUCUCUUUUCUGGUUAUU
rnacentral:lncRNA from 1 species